GCCGCCAUGGUCAAAAGUUGACCUUGACUCCGCAGUAACCCAGUUUUCGCCGAGUGCUUCAUAUGGAACAGAAGAAAUGAUAUUCUCCCAUCACUUCUCCUUCUCCUCACCUUUGUUCUUCAAACCCAAAUAGAGGAGUUUUGCCCCUUUUAAUGUUGAAGGUGCUGUACGCGGAAUUUCAGCUUGAAACUAAAAGGUUUAUUGUAUAGUCAAAGGUGAUUCCAUUUCAUUUUUGAAUUUAAUCAACAAACGAUUCGAAGUGAGUUAAAAUUAUAAUUGUUGUUGAAAGGUAUAAUAUGAGUAUGAUUCUUUCCUUCCCCUGUGAGAUUCAACUAUGGAAUUGAAAGGUAAAAGUUAUCUCUUCACUUGGCAUUUCAGAGCAAUCAUCAAGAAGCACUGAAAUAGCUAUUGAAUGAUGAGCCGUUGCGGAUAGAGGUUCUUAAAUUAGAUGAAGCUGCAGAAGAUGAACUCCAAAGCAAAUCAAAGACGUCAAAGCCCUCUAUCAAGAUCGUCACUGAGUAUGCAAAGUCUAGCCGCUCUUCUUGCAGGAAAUGCUCCGAGGAAAUUCCUGCGAAGUCGCUGAGAUUAGGUUCAAUUAGCAAAGAAUGAAGGCAUGACGUGACAUGAGUUGUGACCAAGAAGCACUGAAGAAGGUAAUGCAUGGAUGUGAUAAAUUGUAUAAAGAGGUUGUGGUUGAAGGAAGCGAUGGCCAAAGCUGGAGAGAAUUUGAAGUUUGCAAAACAGAUGAAACUAUGGUGGACAAUGGCAAGAAAGCUGAGUUGGAGAUAGCUUUCUCUAUUUUCGAUGUACAGAAACAGUACUUUUCGAUGUACAGAAACAGUACAAGGAAUCUACAUAGUCUCCAAAUUGGAGAGCUUUCAAACCACUUAUGUUUCUGGAGAGGGAUGAAGGUCUUCGCGAUUCAUGAAAAAUUGCUGCAUUUGAUUUUGAUGGUUGUCUUGCAAACAUCGAUGUGAGAAGAAUCGGUGUGGAUACAUGGUCCCUGAUGUUCCAAUCAAUACCAGAGAAGCUAAACAGCUUGUACAAAGAUACAAACUGGUGAUCUUUACCAAUAAAUCCAACAUUGAGCCCUGGAAGAAUAAGAGACAAGUGGCAAUUAAUUCUAAAAUUGGGUGGCUUAAAAAUUUCAUUGAUCGCGUCAAAGUCCCAAUUCAAGUAAGUUAGCAAAAUCUAGCAUAUAGAUUUUCUUCUGCACAGGCAUAUAACAUUAGCUAAUACAUGAUAGCCGGUAGCUAUCUUUUCAGAUAUUAGUCAGCCAGACUAGUCAGUUGUGAAAGUUCACUGUGGUUUGGAGCAUGUCAUCACCAUGUAGGACAAUGUCUGCCUCUUCAUAUGUGCCUUUUUCCACUGCCCAUAAAGUGUUGAGUCUUUUCUUUAUCUCUCUGUUUACGUAAUAUUGGUGUAAUCAUAGGCACGUCAACUUCUGAAUGUUUGCUGUUUUCCCAUUUUGUCUUACUCAUUUGGGAUAUUUAAUCCCUGCAGUGAUGAAUCUCUUUAUACAUUUUGAUUUUAGGUGUUCCUUUCUUAUUCUCCCAAAGAAAUAAUAUUUGCUUACAAUUUGUUUCCAUUUAUCUUGUUCUGUGAUUUUCGUAAAAUGGUUACUACUACUGAUCAACGCAUUUAGUCUGAUGGUUUUUAUGCCAACUUUAGGUCAUUUUACGUUGGUGUUGCAGGUGGGAGAAAGAAUGAUCAUAGUGAUGCUGAUAUCAAAUUUGCUAAGGUAAUUCUAGAUUCUAGUUCUUCUGUUUUUCUUUAAACACCAUACUUGUGCUUACAGGCUAUUGGGAUUGAAGUUUUAUCUUCCUGAAGAUUUUUUGCUGCCUGAAAGAUGUUUGGCACUUGUUUAUACCCUGAUUUUUUGGAACUUCUGUCAAUCCUCAUCGCCUCUAACUCUAUGUUUGUGUAAUUAGGUUGUGUUUGCUCUUACCCAACUCUUAAUGUUCAAUGAAACUGCUUUUUCAGUUUCAA